rnacentral:rRNA from 1 species
GAGUUUGAUCGUGGCUCAGGAUGAACGUUAGCGGCGUGCCUAACACAUGCAAGUCGAACGAACAGCCAGAAUCUUAGGAAUCUGGCGGGUUAGUGGCGCACGGGUGAGUAACACGUAGGUGACCUGCCCCGAAGUGGGGGACGAACCACUGGAAACAGUGGCUAAUGCCGCAUGUGCUUAGCCAUUCGGUUGGUUAAGUAAAGCUGAGGCGCUUCGGAGGGGCCGUGCGGUCGAUUAGCUAGUUGGUGAGGUAAUGGCUCACCAAGGCGAUGAUCGAUAGGGGCGGUGAGAGCGUGACCCCCACCACUGGACGUGAGACGACGGCCCGACGACUCC